UUGGAGGGCAAGUCUGGUGCCAGCAGCCGCGGUAAUUCCAGCUCCAAUAGCGUAUAUUAAAGUUGUUGCAGUUAAAAACGCUCGUAGUUGAACCUUGGGCCUGGCUGGCCGGUCCGCCUCACCGCGUGUACUGGUCCGGCCGGGCCUUUCCUUCUGGGGAACCUCAUGCCCUUCACUGGGCGUGUUGGGGGACCAGGACUUUUACUUGAAAAACUUAGAGUGUUCAAAGCAGGCCUUGCUCGAUACAUAGCAUGGAUAAUAGAAUAGGACGUGUGGUU
rnacentral:rRNA from 1 species